rnacentral:rRNA from 1 species
GACGAACGCUGGCGGCGUGCUUAACACAUGCAAGUCGAACGGAAAGGCCCUGCUUUUGUGGGGUGCUCGAGUGGCGAACGGGUGAGUAACACGUGAGUAACCUGCCCUUGACUUUGGGAUAACUUCAGGAAACUGGGGCUAAUACAGGCUAGGAGCUCCUGCUGCAUGGUGUGGGUUGGAAAGUUUCGGCGGUUGGGGAUGGACUCGCGGCUUAUCCGCUUGUUGGGGGGGUAGUGGCUUACCAAGGCUUUGACGGGUAGCCGGCCUGGGCGGGUGACCGGCCACAUUGGGACUGAGAUACGGCCCAGACUCCUACGGGAGGCAGCAGUGGGGAAUAUUGCACAAUGGGCGGAAGCCUGAUGCAGCAACGCCGCGUGCGGGAUGACGGCCUUCUGGUUGUAAACCGCUUUCGCCUGUAACGAAGCGUGAGUGACGGUAAUGGGUAAAGAAGCACCGGCUAACUACGUG